CCUCCUUUCUAAGGAGCUUGUCUCCAAAGAAUCUUAUGAAACAUCUGAUAAGGGUCGCCUCUUCAACGCAACUUCUCUCAGUUUUACCUGCAAGGGUCCUAGACAAUCAGGUUGGGCCUAUAGCUCAGAUGGUUAGAGCGCACGCCUGAUAAGCGUGAGGUCGAUAGUUCAAUUCUAUCUAGGCCCACCAUCUGAGUCAUAAAUAGUUGGCAAAUUUGGCCAAUUGGAGGUGGGACAAGAGCCUUUACCCUUCUUCUUGGGGGGGCUGUANCUCANCUGGGANAGCACCUGGUUUGCAACCAGGGGGUCGGCGGUUCAAUCCCGCUCANCUCCACCAUUUGCUGCAUUCUGAGUGAAGUGGUUGUGGUAGAUUUGUGCGGUCCUUCCAUGA
rnacentral:tRNA from 1 species